CCGAGACGCAGUGCCCGGGGCGCCCGGCAGGGGUCGGGCCGGGCCCCGGGGGCGUGGCGGCGGCACCUGGGGCGCGGGGCGCGCGCCUCCCCUGGCUCGCCCCGGGGCCAACCUGGCCGCGUGCGGACCCGGGGCCGUGCUGCUCGCCCGGCGGCCAGGGGGCGGGGACCGACGGCGCCCGGGGGGCGGGCGAGCGGGCGCCCGGGAUGUUCCUCCGCGGCGGCCGGGCGGCGGGGGAGCAAGAGGGGGAGCAGGAGCAGGAGCGGAGGAGGCGCGCGGGGAGAUACCGCUGCCGCCGGCUCGGGGCGACCGCGCGGAGCCCGCGCCGUCCAGGGCCCUCAAGAAGCCCACAGCCUUCCGCAUCUGGCGCUCCGGAGGAGCAGCGGCCUCCGCCGCCGGCCUGCGGGGUGUUCGUCCCGCACCCGCCGCCGGAGCCCCCCUGCGCGCCCAGUCUUUCCAGAAACACCUUUACUGGGAACUUCUGUCUGAUGUCUGCUGAAAUGUUAGGGAUCGGAGAGACUUCCUACACAUGAUCGUAGAGAAAUCAAAAUAAAGGACUCCAUGGUCAGAUGAGCUAGAACUGA
rnacentral:lncRNA from 12 species